UUAUGCUGAUAAGAGCGUAUGGUGGAUGCCUUGGCACUAAGAGCCGAUGAAAGACGUGAUAAGCUGCGAAAAGCUUCGGGGAGGGGCAAAUACCCAUUGAUCCGGAGAUUUCUGAAUGGGGAAACCUACCUGAGCAAACCUCAGGUAUCCUGACGCCAAUCCAUAACGUCAGGAAGGGAACCCGGUGAACUGAAACAUCUAAGUAGCCGGAGGAAGAGAAAACAACAUGUGAUUCUGUGAGUAGCGGCGAGCGAAAACGGAAGAGCCCAAACCAGUGUGCGUGCAUGCUGGGGUUCGGACCGCGGAAUUGAUUCAACAAGUUUAGCAGAACGGUUUUGGGAAAGCCGGCCAGAGAGGGUGAAAGCCCCGUAAGCGAAAGACGAGUUGACAUGGCGGGAUCCAGAGUACCACGAGACACGUGGAACCUUGUGGGAAUAUGCGGGGACCACCCCGUAAGGCUAAAUACUACUUAGUGACCGAUAGCGCAUAGUACUGUGAAGGAAAGGUGAAAAGGACCCCGGGAGGGGAGUGAAAAAGAACCUGAAACCAUAUGUUUACAAGCUGUGGAAGAGCUUUAUAUGCUCAACCGCGUACUUUUUGUAGAACGGUCCGGCGAGUUACGCUGGCUGGCGAGGUUAAGCACUGAAGGUGUGGAGCCGAAGGGAAACCAAGUCUGAAUAGGGCGAAGAGUCAGUCGGAGUAGACCCGAAACCGGGUGAUCUAUCCAUGUCCAGGUUGAAGUUGCCGUAAAAGGCAAUGGAGGACCGAACCCACAUCCGUUGAAAAGGGUGGGGAUGAGGUGUGGAUAGGGGAGAAAUUCCAAUCGAACCCGGAGAUAGCUGGUUCUCCUCGAAAUAGCUUUAGGGCUAGCCUCAUACGAGUCUUGCGGAGGUAGAGCACUGAAUUCCUAAGGGGGCGUCAAAGCUUACUAAGGGAUAUCAAACUCCGAAUGCCGUGUAGAUGAUGUAUGGGAGUCAGACGAUCCGAGAUAAGUUGGGUGGUCAAAAGGGAAAGAGCCCAGACCAACAGCUAAGGCCCCAAAAUGUGUGUUAAGUGGAAAAGGAUGUGGGAUUUCGAAGACAACUAGGAUGUUGGCUCAGAAGCAGCCAUCCAUUCAAAGAGUGCGUAAUAGCUCACUAGUCGAGAGGUCCUGCGCCGAAAAUGUCCGGGGCUGAAACACACUGCCGAAGCUUUGGAAUUGAUGAAUUUCAAUUGGUAGAGGAGCAUUCUUAAAGAGACGAAGCAGUACCGGAAGGAGCUGUGGAUUUUUAAGAAGAGAGAAUGCCGGAAUGAGUAGCGAGAGGAAGGUGGGAAUCCUUCCGGCCGAAUAUCUAAGGUUUCCAGAGUAAAGCUGAUCUGCUCUGGGUAAGUCGGGGCCUAAGGCGAGGUCGAAAGACGUAGUCGAUGGAUAACAGGUUGAAAUUCCUGUACUAUCCUGUAACAGAACUGUGGGGACACAGGCAGAGAGCGUGAGCCGGGAAUGGAAAGACCGGUACAAGCGAGGUAGGAGUUCAGUUGGCAAAUCCGCUGAACAAUCUGAAGACGUGAUGUGGACCGAAAAGAAGUAGGGAAGCACGUGAGCUGACUGUCAAGAAAAGCCGCUAUUGUUUGCAGGAUACCCGUACCGUAAACCGACACAGGUGGAUGAGGAGAGAAUCCUAAGGCCGACGGGAGAAGCAUUGUUAAGGAACUCGGCAAAAUGACUCCGUAACUUCGGGAGAAGGAGUGCCAGUAAGAUGGCCGCAGAGAAUUGGCCCAAGCAACUGUUUAGCAAAAACACAGGUCUAUGCAAAACCGAAAGGUGAGGUAUAUGGGCUGACGCCUGCCCGGUGCUGGAAGGUUAAGGGGAGAGGUUAGCCGCAAGGCGAAGCUUUGAACUUAAGCCCCAGUAAACGGCGGCCGUAACUAUAACGGUCCUAAGGUAGCGAAAUUCCUUGUCGG
rnacentral:rRNA from 1 species